GUGAGGAAUAUUGGUCAAUGGGCGGGAGCCUGAACCAGCCAAGUCGCGUGAAGGAAGAAGGAUCUAUGGUUCGUAAACUUCUUUUGCAGGGGAAUAAAGUGCAGGACGUGUCCUGUUUUGUAUGUACCCUGAGAAUAAGGAUCGGCUAACUCCGUGCCAGCAGCCGCGGUAAUACGGAGGAUCCGAGCGUUAUCCGGAUUUAUUGGGUUUAAAGGGUGCGUAGGUGGUUUGAUAAGUCAGCGGUGAAAGUUUGCAGCUUAACUGUAAAGAUGCCGUUGAAACUGUCGGACUUGAGUGUAAAUGAGGUAGGCGGAAUGCGUGGUGUAGCGGUGAAAUGCAUAGAUAUCACGCAGAACUCCGAUUGCGAAGGCAGCUUACUAAGCUACAACUGACACUGAAGCACGAAAGCGUGGGGAUCAAACAGGAUUAGAAACCCCAGUAGUCC
rnacentral:rRNA from 1 species